GCCCCACCCUCGCGGAGGAAACCCGCUUUCCUUCCAAUGCCGCCGUGGCUGUCCGAAAGAGUUAAUGCUACCGAGUGUCCCGUUCCUGCCGCGGCCUAGAGGGGCCUCCCGGCGGCUCGGCGAGCGUCUGUCGCCGCCUCGCGUCCCGCACCGGAAGGCACUGCGCGUCCGGCUAGUGCCUACGUGGCCUUCGUGCAGCGCCGGUACUCGGAGCCCAGCCCGGCGGGGAUGGCCGCCCCUUCGCACGCGGGGCCCUCGGCCUUCCCGGGGCUUUCGUUCCGGUCAGGAUCGGCGGCCCCCGAGGGCUUGUUCCCUCCUCUGGGCCGCGUGUCCCUCACAACGAUCACGUUUUCCUAGUGAGGUGGAAUCCUGUUGUGCUGAUCCCUUCUCCGUGAGAGCAAAGGGUUAAACACGGGAGAUGAGAAGCAUCUGCGAAGGUCACUUGCACAGGUUUCAGAGCAGGCUCGUUUCCUAGGAAUCUGCGUCAGGCAGAGACUUAGUUUCUUCAGAAGCAAUUCUUUCCAGGGUGCAGUAAUGCUCUUAGCAUUGAGAUCCUCACCACUGGGCCCACGGCUGAGCAUAUGCUGGGAACUUACUAAAGCGAAUAAAUGAAGUUCUGCCAGUGGUGCCCUUGCA